ensembl:lncRNA
GUGAACAUACAGUGUACUCCGUGUCCUAAACUCUUUUAAUGGACUUUAACCCUCAGUUCCAUUUGUAUCACUAUGCGGGUGCUAGAGGGUCGCUACCAUUUUGUCACUGUGUUUAUCUGUCUGUCUUUCUGUCUGUUUGUCUGAUUAGGAAAAAAGCAAUUCUUGCUAGUAUGACAAUGUGUGCACUGGAUACUUGCAAAUACAGCAAGAGGGAAACUAACCCAGUCAUACCUGACCAAAUACACUUCUACAGCUCUCUCUCUCUCUCUCUCUCUCUCUCUCUCUCUCUCUCUCUCUCUCUCUCUCUCUCUCUCUCUCUCUCUCAACAUAUUGACACGUUCUUGUUUAAGCUAUCCAUUUCUCACACUCAAGUCUUUCUCUCACUCUGACAUCCACUACCAUCCAUUCUCUGUCAUCCCUCUGUCCCUCAUGAGCUUGUAAUGCGAAACCACACACCCUUUGACGGGUGGUGAUAGACAUGCAAUAUACUGGAUACAUAUGGGAUCUUGCAACAUAGGCACAACUCACUGUUUGUCAUACACAGGCACAGACACACAUUCACAUAAAGAAUACACAGCACCCCCAAAUGACUUAAUCAAGAGUAGUUUCACUGUAUUAGGCCCACAUUAAUGCAUAAUACACACAUAUGUACACACACAUUUUAACUCGCACAAUACACGUUUAGAUAGAAGCAACAGUAUCACAUAUGUACAGAAUACAUUUUGCACACACACAUAAAUAUGUUUAAAAAAAAUCCACCGCACGCAUGCAAACACACACGCGCGCACACACACACACACACACACACACCAAUAUAGUGUAUCUGUAUUACUGUUUGACACUUCCUAUGGGAAAAGACCCUUUCGUUGAACGACAGAAACACAGCACUGAACUUGUAAUUUAUUGUUUGUACAACUGGUAUGUGAAAAAAGAACCAUGUGAUGAAUUUAUUUAUUAUUAUGGUAAUGUUGUAUCAUGUUUACUAUUUAACUAAGAAUAUGACUGUGCAGAAUAAUUCAUUUUGAAGAAAAUGGUGUUUUCUAGUCAUCUACAUGAAUAUAUGUACAUAAAAUGUAUAUAUUU